GCCCUGUUAGCUCAGUUGGUAGAGCAACGGAUUGAAAAUCCGUGUGUCCGUGGUUCAAAUCCGCGACGGGGCACCA
rnacentral:tRNA from 3 species